GUUGUCUUGUUUUCUCUGCAGAUGAAAACGAGUGCCUGAGUGCACAUGUCUGUGGAGGAGCCUCCUGCCACAACACCCUGGGGAGUUACAAGUGCAUGUGUCCCACCGGCUUCCAGUACGAACAGUUCAGUGGAGGCUGCCAAGACAUCAAUGAGUGUGGCUCAUCCCAGGCCCCCUGCAGUUACGGUUGCUCUAAUACUGAGGGUGGCUACCUGUGUGGCUGUCCACCAGGAUACUUCCGGAUAGGCCAAGGGUAAGUAUUAUUCUUCCUGCCCUCAGUUAAUGACUCUGUAAAUAUAUUACACACACACACGUAUAUGUGUAUGUGUAUGCAUAUGUAUAAUCCCAGCACCACUUGGGAGGCAGAGGCAGGCAUAUAUAUAUAUAUAUAUAUAUAUAUAUAUGUAUAUAUAUAUAUAUAUAUAUAUAUACCCUACUAGAGAACUGCGCUUUCUAUAAUCCUCAGGUUCAUUCCAGUUAGCUUUGAAACCAUUUGAAAGGAGCAUCUGUAAAGGCGUAUCCAGAUUUCUAGAAACUCCUAGAACACCCAACAACAUAGUGCAGCCACAUGGUUCAUAUCUCACUGAACAGCUUCUGUCUCAUAUCCUUCACAUCUUGCUGAGAGCUAAUUGGUUUCUCCAAGAAUCCUCCUCAGGAUCAGCCCACGCAGAGCUGGGUGUACUCUACACAGCUGAUGGCUCCCAUGGAGCAGGCUGGGCUCUCUCCACUUAGGAUGCUUUCUUUCCUGGCUCCCAUCAGGUUAUGGAUAACUUGCUGGGUGUUUCUUACCGUUUUUAAGGCAUCUUUUGUCCUUUGCUCUUGAAUUUACAUUAGAAAUAAUUUUUAAAAAGCACACUAAAUGUGAGUUAGAAUAAUCAGCUGUAUUUUCCAAGUAGAAAAUUUUAUGAAUGAUGUGAAUAUGAAUAUGUUUAUGAGAGUUGAGGCAGAAAAGGAACACUGUUUUUAUCAAUGGCUUAAAAUUUUAAUAAGUUUUUAAAGCCAAGUUCUUCCCUAAUGACUUGAGUGUAUAUCUAAUUUAUGAAACUUUGUUCUUGAUUUUGUUUUUGAGACAGGGUUUCUCUGUGUAACAGAGCCCUGGCUGUCCUGGAUUCACUUUGUAGACCAGACUGGCCUUGAAUUUACAGAGAUCUGCCUGCCUCUGCCUCUCAGGUGCUAGGGUUAUAGGCAUGCAUCACCACGCUCAACCUAGUUCAUGAAUAUUAAUUAAUUAGAAGUCUCUCUUAAUUAGAACUCUAUCUGUCUUUCUUUGUCUCUCUGUUUUUCUCUGCCCCUACCCAUCAUACACACACACACACAAUCACAUACACACUUAUCCCAAAUAUGAACUCAGAGGUCCUGAAGUCUAUGACACACUGGCUUUCAGACACUUAUUCCAGUCUGUAUAAACUUCAAGGUAGAAGAAUUCUAUGUGGGAAGCUCUUGGAAUGCCAGCGGUAGGGCCCAAAUUCCCAGAUGUCUGUCUGGCUCUCAACUGACUCAGUAUUUUUUUUUACAGUUUAAUGCCAGAACCAUUUUUCCC
rnacentral:lncRNA from 1 species